GGGCAACCACAGGGAAGGGGAAGGUUGAAGGGGAACUGCUCACAAGGGAAACGAGCCUUCUUUACCAACAUGGAUGGCCAACAUGCACACCAAAUGAUGCUGACCACAAGAAAGAUAAAAAGCACAACCAAAAUGAGCCAUCACUCCAGGCUCAGGACAAUUGGUAAAAUAAGAAUAACUGCAGCUCAGCUGUGAGCACAAGACCCACUGCAAGUUACCAGUCUAGAGCUAAGCUCUGGGCAACCUGAAGUAGACUGGCCACACAUCUGGAGAUGCCAGGUCAGCCCAAUGGAGGGGGGGAGGAAAUCAGAACUAAAAGGACUGCAGUUUGGCCAAAAAGGACUGAAAUUUCCCAAUGAGGAUCAAUUCUUUUUCAACUGCAGUGCUGGGAUCAAACCUAGAGCCUCGAGCAUCCAAGACGGCAGUCGAGGGGAGCAGCAGCCACAAGUCAGGGAUCACAGAGCCCUCCACCUCCUCAGCACACCCAGAGGAUGACGCCCCCAGACCACAGAGAACCUGUUUGCUCAUGGGGCAGGCCUUCCACCGGCUGCUCGAGAGUCCUUUCUAAGAGAUGUAGAAGACAGGAUCCUAAGCAGGACACCAAGAGCCGCCCUCAGCAGGCUCCAAAGAGAAGUUGAUGUCUUAGAGGCAAAUGGAUCCAGCCUGAAGGACCCCUUGAGCAGUUAGGACCACCCCACAUCCCCAUAUUUCCCCCCACUAUGUGCUACCCCAUCAUCCCAAAUACACAUAGUUGAUAUUUCUCAAUAAAGCACA
rnacentral:lncRNA from 1 species